CGACCACGUAGAGGGAAGGGUGUUACCAGACAGCCAAGGACUCGCCCAAGUCUCCCCGGGCUGGCUCUGUCCAGAGACAGUGUUACAGAGCGUGGAGCAGAGAUCUCAGAAGCCAUCUAGCCACCACCCCCCAUUUUCAGAUGAGGAAACGGAGGCCCAGGGCCCCCAGCGACCCAGCCAGGCCACGCCUGCCUCUGGCCUGGCCACUGGGACAGGCGCCUCCCUCCACCUGCGGUGUCCUUGGCACAGUCUUUCUUCCAGAGCCAUCCGUCCCUUCUAGGAUAUAAGCCCCAUGGAUGACUGCAUGGAUACCACACGGAUGCGCCAUUUUCCCACCUCUGAACUCUUGCGCUUGCCUGCA